GCGUUUUCUGUGGGAGUGUAGGAGUCUAACUCAGGUUCCUGGUUCUAAGUUGCAAACCUACCUCCUGCCAUAAAGAUGUAAAUUUACUUUUUCCUUUGGAUAAUACUAAUUAGCUAAUACAGAUUACCAGUUACCGAUUCCCAAGGUGAGUUUAAGACGAACUGUGUGUAACAAAUAGUGCUGUCAAGUCCUCUUACUUGAGAACUAGUUGUUUUGUUUUGAGAACAGGUACCUACGUAAUAGGACAUAUCUGCUUAGCAGUGCAAAAGGGGGACAUUUCUUUCUGUCCUUUCGAUCUCUCAAUGCAUUGCCUGUGAUGCACAUCCUAUUUUGUCUUAAUACUUUCUCUAUUCAAUAAGAAAACUGUUUUCUGUCUCUUCUACUUGUGGAGAGAUUUCUUUGGGUGGGCAGGAGGUUUCGCUUUUAAUUUUAGGUCCCCAACACCUGCCACCAAGGUUGUUUGAGUCUGUGUCUUCCAGCUCCGGCUCUAGUAAGCAUCUGAAUGCCCUGACGGAUGGGCUGACUCAAGGGGCAAGAAGAUGAGACCUCUGCCUUUCACUGCUGGCCACAACUUCACCUGAGAGUGGAAACCUGGUGUUUUCAAG
rnacentral:lncRNA from 1 species